GGGAUAAUAGCUCAGUUGGUUAGAGCUCCCGGCUCAUAACCGGGUGGUCCCUGGUUCAAGUCCAGGUUGUCCCACCA
rnacentral:tRNA from 1 species